AGACACAAGACAAUUUGGUUACCCAGUUCCCUUAUCGGAACCAGAGAAGAGAUUUCACCAACGCUAGAAAACACUGUAAUCUCCUUGCAACACAACCUGAUCAGCACUUGAGUGUAUUUAAAGGGCAAUGGAGCUGCUGUCAUGGGCUUCGUAGAAGACUUGACCCAAGACUUAAUUGUUGAAGUCGUAUGGGCUUUAACUCUUGAAUGCAGCCCACUUGUUUUGGACCCAAUAGAGUCUUGGCCCUCUUUGUCUGAAUUGAGACAACCAAACCCUUCAAUCUCCACCUUUGUCUUCGAUUCAGCUCAGCUCCGGUUUCAUCGCCUCCUGAUCUCACUCAGUCUCCAAACCUCUUCGAGUUUUAACCGAUCUGGGCUUCACGAUGCUUCCGCUAAUCUUACGACAUCAUCUCCUCUGUCAGCUUUACCGAUGACAGAUCAUGAUUUUCAUCUUUCCUAUCGCUCACAACUCUACCUUGCGAACUGCUCAACCGUUUCCGUUUAGCCACGAUUUCUGAUUGAUCCUCUAAUUUGAAGAAUCGUCGACUAUUCUUCUGCCCUUAGUAGUUCCAAUUUUGAUGAUCGAACCCAGACCCAUGUGCCUCUCAGUUUGACCACUGACGACACGUAGUACCUUGACUCUCUCACUUAACCUCAACACUGUAACUCUCACUGAUUCAGUAGUUUCAGAGAAUCCAGACUUCAAGACGGUAGAAUUUCAGUUUUAGGUACUGUGAUUUUCCUUAGAAUUUCAACCAUUCUCAAACUUCUUCAGAACUCAUCAUCAGAUUUUACCAUCUAAUGCUGUGUAAAUCUGUCGAUUUCUUUGUAGUAAUUACCGAUACUGAUACACCUCAAUAUCUGUUUCAUGUCCAUUGUGAGAUUAUCAAAUCGACCAAGAUCAAUCUCUGGACUUCCUUUGCUGACUUAUGCUGAGACGUUCAGAAGUGCCAGGCACUUCUCAAAACUGUUACCAGGUGCGAAGAUUUCAUUGUAGUCUACCCCUUCGAUCUGCGUGAAACCUUUUGCUACAAGUCGGGCUUUGUACCUUGGAUCUUCCACACCAGGU